CUCUCUCUUUCUCUCUCUCUCUAUAAAUAUCAUAGCUAUAAGACAUGUUCUUUUUUUCUCCUCUCCCUCUCUCUUUUUUUUUAUUCAUCGUCUCUUCGCCGACCAUACACCGGCGAAAUCGCUCUUUGGUUCCCGCCAGGGGCGCUCUUUCUCCUCGCCAUUUUUAUGCUCUGCAAAGGUUUGGUCUCUGCCUUUUCCUCUGUCGCUUUCUCUGGACGUGUUAUAGAAAACGUUUCUUCAAAGGCUUUAGAUCUGGCGGUUUUGCGUUUUUGAAGCUCAAUUUGAGUCUUUUUUCUCUGUUGAAGCCUGCAAUUUCGGUCUUUUCUCAUUUCAAUUUCUAUUCAAAGUGUUGUUAGGUGAUAAGUUGAUGAUACGUUCACAUUCUUUUUGUUCUGGUGGAUCUUGAUCUAUUGUUCUUGAUUUCAAGAUUUUUUUUAAUUUAAUGCUAAAUGUAUGUGAAUUCAAGUGUAAUGCAUGUAUUGAGAACAAAAAUAGCUAGGAAGUUUUCUUUCUCAAUUUUUAAGCUGUUAAACUUUCUUGAUUUGUCUGCAAACUCUGUAUUUUGGUCUUCAAUGGUUUAUCUGAAUUUUUUUUUUAAUUCAUAUUUUUGCUUCUAUAUCUGAUUGAAAAAUGUUUGCCCGUCUCAAAUUUCCUCUCUCUCUCUCUGAAGCUUCAUAAUGCAGUAUAAGGAGAAGAGUUUCUCUUUAUAAUUAUUUAUUUUUUAUUUCAAUUGAUGUUCUCUAAUAAUAGAGAGGCCUAGUCGAAUGGAUAAGAAGUAUUAAAUUUUCCUUAUAAAUAGCCUUUUUGGUACGUUAAGUUUCCAUUUUGAGCUUCCAAAUCUUUUGAGCUUGCCUUUUUCUAUUUCUGGUUUGUGUUUGAACAUUAGCAUCCUUAAAGCUGGACAUCUUCUCAUUGGUGAUAGAACCAAGUAGUUGGUGCAAUUUUCAAGGAUAGAAAGAUAUAAACAUAUGGAUGGGACUAAAGAGGUGGGACUUAGGAAUGUGAGCUCAACAUGUUCAAUCUCUGAAAUGGACGAUUUUGAUCUCUCUCGCCUACUGGACAAGCCGAGGCUGAACAUUGAGAGGCAGAGAUCAUUUGAUGAGAGGUCACUCAGUGAGCUCUCAAUUGGGCUCACCAGAGGCGGUCUUGAUUACUGUGAGAUCACUUAUUCCCCUGGAGGCAGGUCAGGAUUAGACACGCCAGUCUCAUCAGCUCGCAACUCUUUUGAGCCACACCCAAUGGUGGCUGAUGCCUGGGAAGCACUAAGACGGUCCAUAGUGUACUUCAGAGGCCAACCGGUUGGCACAAUUGCUGCAAUUGACCAUGCCUCAGAGGAGGUUUUGAACUAUGAUCAGGUUUUUGUUCGAGAUUUUGUGCCUAGUGCCCUGGCUUUUCUGAUGAAUGGUGAGCCUGAGAUAGUUAAGAACUUCCUUUUGAAGACACUACAUCUUCAAGGGUGGGAAAAGAGAAUAGAUAGAUUCAAGCUCGGGGAAGGGGUAAUGCCAGCUAGCUUUAAAGUUCUUCACGAUCCUGUUCGGAAAACAGAUACUCUUAUGGCAGAUUUUGGUGAGAGUGCAAUUGGAAGAGUGGCUCCUGUUGACUCUGGUUUCUGGUGGAUCAUUCUGCUGCGUGCAUAUACCAAGUCUACUGGAGAUUUGUCUCUGGCAGAGACUCCAGAGUGUCAAAAGGGGAUGAGGCUUAUAUUGACUCUGUGCUUGUCAGAGGGGUUUGAUACAUUCCCAACCCUUCUUUGUGCUGAUGGAUGCUCUAUGAUUGAUCGCAGAAUGGGCAUUUACGGUUAUCCUAUUGAAAUUCAAGCACUUUUUUUUAUGGCAUUAAGGUGUGCCUCGUCAAUGUUGAAACAUGAUACAGAAGGAAAAGAAUGUAUUGAGAGAAUUGUGAAACGUUUGCAUGCUUUGAGCUAUCACAUUCGAAGUUACUUCUGGUUAGACUUUCAACAACUAAAUGAUAUAUACAGAUAUAAAACUGAGGAGUACUCACACACUGCAGUAAAUAAGUUCAAUGUUAUUCCUGAUUCAAUCCCAGAUUGGGUAUUUGAUUUUAUGCCUACACGUGGUGGCUAUUUUAUCGGCAAUAUUAGUCCUGCAAGGAUGGACUUUCGAUGGUUUGCUUUAGGUAAUUGUGUUGCCAUUCUCUCGUCUCUUGCAACUCCGGAGCAAUCAAUGGCUAUCAUGGAUCUUAUAGAAUCUCGCUGGGAGGAGCUGGUUGGAGAAAUGCCUUUGAAAAUAGCUUAUCCUGCAAUAGAAAGCCAUGACUGGCGAAUAGUAACUGGUUGUGAUCCCAAGAACACGAGAUGGAGUUAUCAUAAUGGAGGAUCUUGGCCAGGUUUGUCCAUUUUCUCUCUCUAUUUAAACUGAAUAUCUCUCUAUUAAUAUGAUGUUCAUGCCGUUAGGAUAGCAUUCCUGUCAUGUUUCACCAGAGGUCUUAGAACAUUAUUUGGUGUUAUUUUGUUGAAUAGAGGCUAUUGAUGAAUUAUACAUAAAAUUUAUUGUAUUCAGCCUAGUUAUACCCUAGACAUUUUGGACUAAAAAGUUUAGGAAGUAUAUAUGUGGGCUCUACCUAUUUUACAUGUGGACCCCACCAUAUAACAUGUGUCUUAGGUCCAUGGAUUUGGUCUAGACAAGAAUUUGUUGUCAAGUGAUUACUUAAACUUUAUUUUAUUAGCAAAUGAAUCAUUUUUCCCUUAAAAAAAUACAGUGCUUUUAUGGCUGCUAACUGCUGCAUGCAUCAAAACUGGACGACCGCAAAUUGCAAGACGUGCAAUUGAUCUUGCUGAGACCCGUCUGCUGAAAGAUAGCUGGCCUGAAUAUUACGAUGGGAAACUUGGGAAAUUUAUCGGUAAACAGGCAAGGAAAUACCAGACGUGGUCGAUUGCUGGGUACUUGGUGGCAAAGAUGAUGCUGGAGGAUCCUUCACAUUUGGGAAUGAUUUCCCUGGAAGAGGACAAACAAAUGAAGCCAGUGAUUAAGAGAUCUUCUUCUUGGACUUGCUGAUUAAGAGAUCUUCUUCUUGGACUUGCUGAUGAAGAGAGGCAAACAAACAAGCAAGCAAGCAGGAUAAGUAGCAGAAAAAAUAGUAGGAAAAGAAAACGUAAAGUGAGAAAUGUUUGGUUUCGUUAUACAGCAUUAUUCUUUGCCGUUUGUUGUUGUAGGUCUGAUUUGAAAGUGUGGUUGUGUACAAUAGCUUCUGCUAAGAACUACUGUCUUGCUUUUCAAAUAAGAGAAACAUUUGAAUGGCAAUUUGGAAAUGCCAUCCUUAGUUUAUGUUAGCUUUUGACAGCAAAAAUGGAAUAAGAUUUAUCUUCAUCGCCAAGGACUUGAG
rnacentral:misc_RNA from 1 species